AUUGAACGCUGGCGGCAGGCCUAACACAUGCAAGUCGAGCGGAUGAAGGGAGCUUGCUCCUGGAUUCAGCGGCGGACGGGUGAGUAAUUCCUAGGAAUCUGCCUGGUAGUGGGGGAUAACGUCCGGAAACGGGCGCUAAUACCGCAUACGUCCUGAGGGAGAAAGUGGGUGAUCUUCGGACCUCACGCUAUCAGAUGAGCCUAGGUCGGAUUAGCUAGUUGGUGGGGUAAAGGCCUACCAAGGCGACGAUCCGUAACUGGUCUGAGAGGAUGAUCAGUCACACUGGAACUGAGACACGGUCCAGACUCCUACGGGAGGCAGCAGUGGGGAAUAUUGGACAAUGGGCGAAAGCCUGAUCCAGCCAUGCCGCGUGUGUGAAGAAGGUCUUCGGAUUGUAAAGCACUUUAAGUUGGGAGGAAGGGCAGUAAGUUAAUACCUUGCUGUUUUGACGUUACCAACAGAAUAAGCACCGGCUAACUUCGUG
rnacentral:rRNA from 1 species